UCCUUGGCAGGGUCUGAAGCUGGUGACAUUUGCAGACCUCCUGUACUCAUGUUCUUCACUGCCAACAAACCCCACCCAAAGGAUCACAUCAAGAUUACUUGUGUUGCUGUUGGCCUGGUGAACUGAGAGACCGAGCUUUUCUCGAAGAACCACCACAAGAGCAGCAGCCAGGUCUGCAGAGACAGCGUGCAGGAAGACGGGCAGUGGCUGGGAGCGCUUUCAUUUUCCUGGGGUUCUGCGUGUGUGUGUGAACAUCCUGGGGGGAGCCCUCUCGGGGAAGAGCUGCAGAGCCCCCGGCAGUGUGCGGCACCGAUAAGGAGAUGAAACAAUGGCUGUGACACGGAGAGCGCCGCACAAUUACUUGGUGAGGAUGUUACAGAGUCAAGUGCUUGCACAGAGUACAGCCACUUGCUUUUGAAUGCUCAGCUCUUUCUUUUCCUGUCCCUUUACACUGUUAUUUAAUACACGGCUUUUAAGGCCAUCCAAGUUUGUGAACACUAAGGGAAUAGCACUUGUGUGUCUUGCUGCUUGCAGUGGUUCACAUUUCCCUGCUUCCAGGGCUGAGUGUACGUGAAGAUUUAGUAAUGCACAAGUCAUGCUCUGGCAGAGAUGG